GUGCUCACUUCAGAAGCACAUAUACUAAAAUUGGAAUGAUACAAAGAUUAGCAUGGCCCCUGCACAAGGAUGACAUGAAAAUUCAUGAAGCAGUCCAUAUUUUU
ensembl:snRNA U6 U6 spliceosomal RNA